rnacentral:rRNA from 1 species
UACGGGGGGGGCAAGCGUUGUUCGGAAUUACUGGGCGUAAAGGGCGCGUAGGCGGCCCGCUAAGUCAGACGUGAAAUCCCUCGGCUCAACCGGGGAACUGCGUCUGAUACUGGCAGGCUUGAAUCCGGGAGAGGGAUGUGGAAUUCCAGGUGUAGCGGUGAAAUGCGUAGAUAUCUGGAGGAACACCGGUGGUGUAGACGGCUUACUGGACCACGACUGACACUGAGGCACGAAAGCGUGGGUAGCAAACAGG